ACGGUAACAUUUCUAGCUUGCUAGAAGAUGACGAGUGGCGGACGGGUGAGUAAUGCUUGGGAACUUGCCUUUGCGAGGGGGAUAACAGUUGGAAACGACUGCUAAUACCGCAUAAUGUCUUCGGACCAAACGGGGCUUUUAGCUCCGGCGCAAAGAGAGGCCCAAGUGAGAUUAGCUAGUUGGUAAGGUAACGGCUUACCAAGGCGACGAUCUCUAGCUGUUCUGAGAGGAAGAUCAGCCACACUGGGACUGAGGCACGGCCCAGACUCCUACGGGAGGCAGCAGUGGGGAAUAUUGCACAAUGGGGGAAACCCUGAUGCAGCCAUGCCGCGUGUGUGAAGAAGGCCUUCGGGUUGUAAAGCACUUUCAGUUGUGAGGAAAAGUUAGUAGUUAAUACCUGCUAGCCGUGACGUUAACAACAGAAGAAGCACCGGCUAACUCCGUGCCAGCAGCCGCGGUAAUACGGAGGGUGCGAGCGUUAAUCGGAAUUACUGGGCGUAAAGCGCACGCAGGCGGUUUGCUAAGCUAGAUGUGAAAGCCCCGGGCUCAACCUGGGAUGGUCAUUUAGAACUGGCAGACUAGAGUCUUGGAGAGGGGAGUGGAAUUCCAGGUGUAGCGGUGAAAUGCGUAGAUAUCUGGAGGAACAUCAGUGGCGAAGGCGACUCCCUGGCCAAAGACUGACGCUCAUGUGCGAAAGUGUGGGUAGCGAACAGGAUUAGAUACCCUGGUAGUCCACACCGUAAACGCUGUCUACUAGCUGUGUGUGAAUUUAAUUCGUGCGUAGCGAAGCUAACGCGCUAAGUAGACCGCCUGGGGAGUACGGCCGCAAGGUUAAAACUCAAAUGAAUUGACGGGGGCCCGCACAAGCGGUGGAGCAUGUGGUUUAAUUCGAUGCAACGCGAAGAACCUUACCUACACUUGACAUGCAGAGAACUUUCUAGAGAUAGAUUGGUG
rnacentral:rRNA from 1 species